rfam:Echinococcus multilocularis genomic scaffold, pathogen_EMT_contig_0242
GCCGCAAUAGUCUAGUGGUUAGGAUAUCGUGUUAUGGCCUCGAGAAUUCAGGUUUGAAUCGUGGUUGUGGCA